rnacentral:rRNA from 1 species
AAUCAACGCUGGCGGCGUGCCUAACACAUGCAAGUCGAACGCGAAAGUCCCGCAAGGGAUUAGUAGAGUGGCAAACGGGUGAGUAACACGUGGGUGACCUGCCUUCGAGUGGGGGAUAACGUCCCGAAAGGGACGCUAAUACCGCAUGACAUCCUGUCUUUUAACAGGCGGAGAUCAAAGCUGGGGAUCGCAAGACCUAGCGCUUGAAGAGGGGCCCGCGUCUGAUUAGCUAGNGGUGAGGUAACGGCUCACCAAGGCGACGAUCAGUAUCCGGCCUGAGAGGGCGGACGGACACACUGGGGCUGAGACACGGCCCAGACUCCUACGGGAGGCAGCAGUGGGGAAUUGUUCGCAAUGGGCGCAAGCCUGACGACGCAACGCCGCGUGGAGGAUGAAGACCUUC